UACGGGGGGAGCAAGCGUUGUUCGGAUUUACUGGGCGUAAAGGGCGCGUAGGCGGUCAGCACAAGUCAGUUGUGAAAUCUCCGGGCUUAACUCGGAAAGGUCAACUGAUACUGUGCGACUAGAGUGCGGAAGGGGCAACUGGAAUUCUUGGUGUAGCGGUGAAAUGCGCAGAUAUCAGGAGGAACACCGGUGGCGAAGGCGGGUCUCUGGGCCGAUACUGACGCUGAGGAGCGAAAGCGUGGGGAGCGAACAGG
rnacentral:rRNA from 1 species